UUAGCGGGGCGUGGAGCGUAAGGCAAUAUCAAAUAAAGCGGAGGAGGGAGAAGGAUAACAAAUGAUACCCCUUAGUAGCGGCGAGCGGAAGGUGGGGUGGAGGCGCAAGUUUUAAAAACCGUGUUUUGUCGGUAGACGGGACGGGGAGUGUGUAAAACUAAGGAACGUGCUUAUUCCAGGGCUGCUGUGGACGUUCAAGUCUUUUGGGAAUAAGGGCUUCACAGAGGGGGGACGAUCCCGUAGAGGGUCUUGAAAGAGUCUAUUGCGAUGCAUGCUCCAAGAGUCAGGUUGUUUGGGAAUGCAGCGCGUAGAAGUGGGAGGUAAAUCCCUCCUAAAGCUAAAUAUUGGCGAGAGACCGAUAGCAAACAAGUACCGUGAGGGAAAGUUGAAAAGGACUUUGAAAAGAGAGUCAAAAGUACGUGAAAUUGCUUAAAGGGAAGCGUUUGGAGCUAGUUUGGCUAGUCUGUUAUCAGCCUGAGCUUCGGCUUUGGUGUACUAUCAGGCUAUUUGCCGGCCAACUUUCAGGAUUGGAAGGAAAGCUUAGUGCUUUGGAGUCUAAAGAGACAUUUGCGGAAGCAUACUGGUGGAGCGUUGGUCUGCGUUGGCCGUUCUGAAUC
rnacentral:rRNA from 1 species